GAUGAAGAACGUAGCGAAAUGCGAUAAGUAAUGUGAAUUGCAGAAUUCAGUGAAUCAUCGAAUCUUUGAACGCACAUUGCGCCCUUUGGUAUUCCUUAGGGCAUGCCUGUUCGAGCGUCACUACACACCUUAUCACAAUAUUUGUGGUCUUGGCAGGAGUGAAUUGCUGGUCUAUGGAAGUAUUCCAGCAGUACACAAUGCUAAAAAAUAUGGGAAGGUUACCAGAUAUGAACAACAGACUUUGUAAAUGGUUGUAGGACCUAGAUCAGUCACAAGUCAUGUCUGGUCUCUUACCUUAAGGACCCCCAUCCUAGAUGAACUAUGGGUUGACCUCGGAUCAGGUAGGAAUACCCGCUGAACUUAAGCAUAUCAAUAAGCGGAGGA
rnacentral:misc_RNA from 1 species